AGAAAAGAAGGAGCACCCGCUUCUCACCUGAUAACGCAUUGAGCAGUUUACAGGUCUUGGUUUUCUAUUUGGCAGUUUUGUCUAAUUAGUCUAUCAUAAGUGUGGGUGUAUAAGCAUCCACACUUUUUUAA
rnacentral:sRNA from 1 species